GGCUACAGGAGAAGAGGGAGAGAAAGAAAAUUCAUAGCUAGGGUACACUAAGAGGAAGUUUAUGUGCGAUUUCUCAAUCAGAUUAAUUAGCUAGCGGUGGAAUUGCGAGCAGAAUAAGGGAGGAAUUCGUCAAUCAGAUUAACACCGUCACUGAGAACAAAGUUAAAUUUGACUCUCACUACUUGAGUAGAAUUUAUGUUUUAAAUUCUAAGAUAUUUUUUGGGAAGAAAUGAGUUGAUCUUGGAAU
rnacentral:lncRNA from 1 species